GGUGAAUUUUCCGCAAUGGGCGAAAGCCUGACGGAGCAAUACCGCGUGAGGGAGGAAUGCCUUUGGGUUGUAAACCUCUUUUCUCAGGGAAGAAGAUCUGACGGUACCUGAGGAAUAAGUAUCGGCUAACUCCGUGCCAGCAGCCGCGGUAAUACGGAGGAUGCAAGCGUUAUCCGGAAUCAUUGGGCGUAAAGCGUCCGCAGGUGGUUUCCAAAGUCUGCUGUUAAAGACUGGAGCUCAACUCCGGAACGGCGGUGGAAACUUGGAAACUAGAGUUCGGUAGGGGUAGCGGGAAUUCCCAGUGUAGCGGUGAAAUGCGUAGAUAUUGGGAAGAACAUCGGUGGCGAAGGCGUGCUACUGGACCGUAACUGACACUCAGGGACGAAAGCUAGGGGAGCGAAAGGGAUUAGAUACCCCUGUAGUCCUAGCUGUAAACGAUGGAAACUAGGUGUGGCUUG
rnacentral:rRNA from 1 species